rnacentral:lncRNA from 10 species
CCCAAACCUUCAGCUGGUUGGCUUAGGAUUGGGCUCAGAGGAAGGGAACCCACAAGCAUGACAUGCUGGCAAAAGGGCCAUCAAACUCCAAAUGGUCGUGCAACCGGAGCCUCGGAAGAUGGCGCCUUCUGCCGGGAACCCUUAGAUAGGCUUCUGAGGGAGCUCUGACUGCCGUUUCCCAAAACACCGCUCCCUGUUAGCAGGAAGCAGUUUAGAUCGGUCUUCGUCCUCACCCCUAUCCUUGUUCUAACAGUAGUUUGAUGUACUUCUUGAGAGGGGGGAAUGAGACAGCCAAGUGUAAAGGGGUCCCCAGAGAACCUCUGACAAACCCGCACACUGGGAGGAAUGUGCACUGGGGUGGAGCCUCUGGAAGUUCGUGCUGAGGAGCCUGGCCCCUCCUCUUCCAGGGUGGAACCUGGGAUUCAACCUGAGAGGUGGGAAGCGUGUACUAGCAGGACUCUCACUCUGCCGAGGGUCCCCGUUUCCCCGCUUUUUUUUUUUGCCCAAUAAAUUCCAUUUUUCUCACCCUUCAAAGUGUCUGCAAGCCUAAUAUUUCAUGGCCAGGUGACAAGGACCCUGUCUUUGGCUGAACUGAGGAGAAACUCCUACAACAUUACCAUCCAGCAAUUCCUAUUUUUUUUUUUUUUUUUUUUUGAGACAGGGUCUCACUCUAUCAACCCAGGCUGGACUGCAGUGGCACAGUCAUAGCCCACUGCAGCCUCUACCUCCUGAGCUAAAGAGAUCCUCCCAUCUCAGCUUCCUGCAUAGCUAGGACUACAGGCGUGGACCACCACACUGGGCUAAAUUUUUUGUAUUUUUAUGUAGAGACGGGGUUUCACCAUGUUGCCCAAGCUGUUCUAGAAUCCCUGGCUCAAGUGAUCUACCUGCCUUGGCCUCCCAAAGUGCUGGAAUUACAGGUAUGAGCCACCAUGCUUGGCUUCCAACCAAUAUUUUAAAGUUCAUGAUGGGAAUGGAGUUUGUCUCAGAUGAUAGAUUUUUAUGGAGCCACAUGCCAAUUUCCUUAGAAUACUUUCCCUCAUGGAUACACCCCACAGAAACUCAGAAUCAUCCCCUCAAUUCUUAUCCCCCCUCAUGCCCAUUUACAAUUAAUCCCUGUUGUCACUUCCAGCCCCAGGCAACUACUAAUCUACUUUCUGCCUCUAUAAAUUUGCCUUCCCUGCACAUUUCAUGUAAGUGAAAUCAUGCCACAUGAAGCCUCUUAGGUCUGGCUUCUUUCACUUAACAUAAUGUUUUUGACGCUCAUCCACGACAUAGCAUGUGUCAUCACGUUUCAUUGCUGCACAGUCUUCUAUUGUAUGGAUUCACCACAUUUUGUCUAUCUACUCACCA